GUUUUAGCCGCCGCGGUAAUACGGGGGGGGCAAGCGUUGUUCGGAUUUACUGGGCGUAAAGGGCUCGUAGGUGGCCAAUUAAGUCAGGCGUGAAAUCCCCAGGCUCAACUUGGGAACUGCGUCUGAUACUGGUUGGCUUGAAUUCGGGAGAGGGAUGCAGAAUUCCAGGUGUAGCGGUGAAAUGCGUAGAUAUCUGGAGGAAUACCGGUGGCGAAGGCGGCAUCCUGGACCGAGAUUGACACUGAGGAGCGAAAGCCAGGGGAGCAAACGGGAUUAGAAACCCCGGUAGUCC
rnacentral:rRNA from 1 species